AUGCAUUAAUGUAAAUCCCCAGCAGAGGGCAGUAACUCUUGUGCUUGUGUACAGUCAACGCUGUGUAUCCGAGCUAUAAGGGGGAUUUGUCUAAUUUUUUCAUUCAUGCUCAUACCUUGAAGAAUUUGUUUUCUCUUUUGAGGCCAGUAACUUCACAGACCACCCUAGCAACCACCCAUCAACACUCUGGCAACAUGCAGCCUGCCAACAAGUAUCCAUCGAUGUGCCCUUCCAGCUCAUUUCACUCAUACCAGUAACCUCAAAGGCCACCCUAGCAACGGCCUAGCAACCACCGAGAACACAGCAACUGUGAGAUAAGCUGACACAGUCUGAUUCAGUCUGGCUACGAUCAUUCGCUCUCUGUUUUCCAACGGAUCCAGGCACAGGACCAGGAAGAAAAUAAAACAAGCCACAAGAAUCUCUUGGCUGGGUUCUUUACUCCCUUUUUUGCUCUACAACUUCUUUAGAGAGAGGGAGGGGGGGGCAAAGGGGAGUAGGAAAAAAGACGCCAGCAUUUUUUAUUCUCAUUUUUAAUGAAGUCUAGAGAAAUGGAGGCAUUGCAGCAAGGGUUGAGUUUCACUUUUGGGCCCAAGCCUCUUAAGCAGGAACAUAUGCGGCUCCUGGGCCUGGGGGCUCAGGUUACCAGGGGGCACUAAAACGUCAAGCGAGAGAAAGAGAGAGACAGGGUAAUACAGAGUGAGACAAGUGAAGAAGAUUAAGAAAGAAUGUGUGCGUAUUUGUGUGUUAAAAGUGAGAAGCAGAGAGCGAGAGAGAGAGAAAUCAGCAGAGAGGGAGCGGGAAACGGGUGGGUAGUUCUGCGGUAGGUAAAUAGAGUUCUGACCCAAGCCCAGUCAUUGGAA